UACGGUGGGAGCAAGCGUUGUUCGGAUUUACUGGGCGUAAAGGGCGCGUAGGCGGCCACCGCAAGUCGACUGUGAAAUCUCCGGGCUUAACCCGGAAAGGUCAGCCGAUACUGCGGGGCUAGAGUGCAGAAGGGGCAACUGGAAUUCUCGGUGUAGCGGUGAAAUGCGUAGAUAUCGAGAGGAACACCUGCGGCGAAGGCGGGUUGCUGGGCUGACACUGACGCUGAUGCGCGAAAGCCAGGGGAGCGAGCGGG
rnacentral:rRNA from 1 species